UGCGUUGAGCUAACCGGUACUAAUGAACCGUGAGGCUUAACCUUACAACGCCGAAGAUGUUUUGGCGGUUGAGAGACGAUUUUCAGCACUGAUUCAGAUUACAUCAGAACGUAAAAACGGUCUGAUAACAGAAUUUGCCUGGCGGCACUAGCGCGGUGGUCCCACCUGACCCCAUGCCGAACUCAGAAGUGAAACGCCGUAGCGCCGAUGGUAGUGUGGGGUCUCCCCAUGCGAGAGUAGGGAACUGCCAGGC
rnacentral:rRNA from 1 species